rnacentral:rRNA from 1 species
AAACCGUUCAGGGGUAAACCUGAGAAACCCAAAAGAUCGAAUGGGGAGACUCAGCGUCAGCCGCUUGUUGGCUUGCGUGCGGCUCGCGAUGCUCUCGGUUUGCCUUUCACGAGGUCUUUAUCGAGGGCACGCGGUCGCUGCGUCAUGUCCGGCGCGGUCGGCGUGCACUUCUCCCCUAGUAGGACGUCGCGACCCGUUGGGUGUCGACCGACGGCCCGCGAGGUAGCCUGGGGCGCAGCGCGUUAAUAGCGCGCUCGCGUCUCAGACCCGCGUGUGCCCGGCUCGACUGCCCGGCGGUAGAGAUCGCUUAUGAUAAUGGUAUGGGGUCGCACGCUCAUGUUAAAUCUGCGAUGCGUUUCGGCCCGUCGACAGACUGGCCUCGCUCGGCGUUUACGGACCUGGUGCCGUUGCCGAGCGCUUGGUCGGUCCAAUUCGACGGUGUCCUCGAACGGGCCCUGCUUUAAAACAUACCCGUCGGCGACGCUACUGCUUUGGGUACUUUCAGGACCCGUCUUGAAACACGGACCAAGGAGUCUAACAUGUGCGCGAGUCAUUGGGACUUGAAACAAAGCCUAAAGGCGCAAUGAAAGUGAAGGUCCGCUUUGAUGCGCGACCGAGGGAGGAUGGCUCCCGCCACGACGCGGAGCCCGCACUCCCGGGGCGUCUCGCGCUCAUCGCGAGCUGAGGCGCACCCAGAGCGUACACGUUGGGACCCGAAAGAUGGUGAACUAUGCCUGGUCAGGACGAAGUCAGGGGAAACCCUGAUGGAGGU